GAUGAACGCUAGCGGGAGGCUACACAUGCAAGUCGAGGGGCAUCACGAGGUAGCAAUACUUUGGUGGCGACCGGCGCACGGGUGAGUAACACGUAUGCAACCUUCCCUGUACAGGGGGAUAACCCGGAGAAAUUCGGACUAAUACCCCAUGAUGAUAUUAUGGGGGCAUCCUUUAAUAUUUAAAGCUCUGGGCGGUACAGGGAUGGGCAUGCGCGACAUUAGCUAGUUGGUAAGGUAACGGCUUACCAAGGCGACGAUGUUUAGGGGACCUGAGAGGGUUGUCCCCCACACUGGUACUGAGACACGGACCAGACUCCUACGGGAGGCAGCAGUGAGGAAUAUUGGUCAAUGGGCGAGAGCCUGAACCAGCCAAGUCGCGUGAAGGAUGAAGGUUUUAUGAAUUGUAAACUUCUUUUGCAGGGGAAUAAAGUGUCCGACGUGUCGGAUUUUGUAUGUACUCUGCGAAUAAGGAUCGGCUAACUCCGUG
rnacentral:rRNA from 1 species